CCUACGGGGGGCUGCAGUAGGGAAUCUUCCACAAUGGGCGAAAGCCUGAUGGAGCAACGCCGCGUGGGUGAAGAAGGUCUUCGGAUCGUAAAACCCUGUUGUUAGAGAAGAAAGUGCGUGCGAGUAACUGUUCACGUUUCGACGGUAUCUAACCAGAAAGCCCCGGCUAACUACGUGCCAGCAGCCGCGGUAAUACGUAGGUGGCAAGCGUUAUCCGGAUUUAUUGGGCGUAAAGGGAACGAAGGCGGUCUUUUAAGUCUGAUGUGAAAGCCUUCGGCUUAACCGGAGUAGUGCAUUGGAAACUGGGAGACUGGAGUGCAGAAGAGGAGAGUGGAACUCCAUGUGUAGCGGUGAAAUGCGUAGAUAUAUGGAAGAACACCAGUGGCGAAGGCGGCUCACUGGACUGUAACUGACGCUGAGGUUCGAAAGCGUGGGUAGCAAACAGGAUUAGAUACCCCAGUAGUC
rnacentral:rRNA from 1 species